rnacentral:tRNA from 1 species
GCGGUAGUAGCUCAGUCGGUAGAGCAUUAGCUUCCCAAGCUGAGGGUCGCGGGUUCGAGUCCCGUCUACCGCUCCA